GGCGGGGCUUUACUGUUGACAGAAGCCGCGCGCGACGCUUCAGUUGUAGCGGUGAAAGAGCGCGAGAUUGGAUUUUUGUCCUUCCACAGUAUAGACCCUCCUUCAAGGUUUGGCUACCAAGUUCCUGGCUCCUAGUGAGAUUGUCCAAGGAUCAUUCUCUAUGGAGAGCACUAUAGCUUGCCCCUUUAUUAAUCUUCUCUGCCGCUAUUCCACCCCAUUCAUGGCACAACAGCUG